UACGUAGGGGGCGAGCGUUGUCCGGAAUUACUGGGCGUAAAGGGCGUGUAGGCGGCCUGUCAAGUCAGGGGUGAAAGCCCGGGGCUCAACUCCGGGUGUGCCUUUGAGACUGAUGGGCUUGAGUGCUCCAGAGGGCAGUGGAAUUCCCGGUGUAGCGGUGAAAUGCGUAGAGAUCGGGAGGAACACCAGUGGCGAAAGCGGCUGCCUGGGGAGCGACUGACGCUGAGGCGCGAAAGCUGGGGGAGCAAACAGG
rnacentral:rRNA from 1 species